rnacentral:rRNA from 1 species
ACGCUCGACACCUACGGGAGGAGCAGUGGGGAAUAUUGCACAAUGGGGGAAACCCUGAUGCAGCGACGCCGCGUGAGUGAAGAAGUAUUUCGGUAUGUAAAGCUCUAUCAGCAGGGAAGAAGAUGACGGUACCUGAGUAAGAAGCCCCGGCUAACUACGUGCCAACAGCCGCGGUAAUCUGAGCGGGCUGGCAAGGC